rnacentral:tRNA from 1 species
GUAUAGCACAGUGGUAAAGCACGUGCUUAGCAUGCAUGUGGUCCUGGGUUCAAUCCCCAGUAC